rnacentral:rRNA from 1 species
GUGGGGAAUAUUGGACAAUGGGCGCAAGCCUGAUCCAGCCAUGCCGCGUGAGUGAUGAAGGCCUUAGGGUUGUAAAGCUCUUUCAGUAGGGAAGAUAAUGACGGUACCUACAGAAGAAGCCCCGGCUAACUUCGUGCCAGCAGCCGCGGUAAUACGAAGGGGGCUAGCGUUGUUCGGAUUUACUGGGCGUAAAGCGCACGUAGGCGGAUUGGUCAGUUAGAGGUGAAAUCCCGAAGCUCAACUUCGGAACUGCCUUUAAUACUGCCAGUCUCGAGUCCGGAAGAGGGGAGUGGAACUCCUAGUGUAGAGGUGGAAUUCGUAGAUAUUAGGAAGAACACCAGUGGCGAAGGCGGCUCACUGGUCCGGUACUGACGCUGAGGUGCGAAAGCGUGGGGAGCAAACAGGAUUAGAUACCCCAGUAGUCC